rnacentral:rRNA from 1 species
UACAGAGGGGGCAAGCGUUAUUCGGAAUUAUUGGGCGUAAAGAGCUCGUAGGCGGUUUGUCGCGUCUGCUGUGAAAACCUAAGGCUCAACCUUGGGCUUGCAGUGGGUACGGGCAGACUAGAGUGCGGUAGGGGUGACUGGAAUUCCUGGUGUAGCGGUGGAAUGCGCAGAUAUCAGGAGGAACACCGAUGGCGAAGGCAGGUCACUGGGCCGCAACUGACGCUGGAGGAAGCGAAAGCAUGGGGAGCGAACAGG